AUCAACACCACCACAAAAUCCUCUUUAGUGUGGAUUGCAGCAGCAGCAUCAGCCAGCAACUGUUUCACCCUGUCAGAACAAGGAGCGCUUUGAAGAUUCAAAACAACAUUAGCAAAAGAAAUCAGUUAAGGCAGGAGGGAAGUAGAAGAGAAUAAAAAAAAGAUCUUGAUUGCCUCAAGGACAGAGGGAAGCUGGGUUCACAGGAAAAACAAGCAGCUGUGAAGAACAACACUCAGCAUCCCUACUGACUUUUGAGAAGAUGGGACAGAGUAAGAUGUCUUUGCUGCAUGACAGCCAGUAACUAGGACGAUGCAGCCGCUCUCUUACGCUCCCCAAGGCAUGACGCAGGAGAGAAUCAGAAGAGAGAAAGUGAGAAAAUUCAUGGGUUGAGACAAAGGCAGUUUAAUAAGUGAAGCAAAAGUCACACACGCAGAACAAAACAAGGAAUUCCUCCACUACUUCCCAUCAUCAGGCAGAUGUUCAGCCAUGUGCAGGAAAGCAGUGUUCCAUCACGGAAAUGGCUACUUGAGAAGAUAAAUGUCAUAACUCUGAACAUCUCCCCCUCCUUCUUCUCCCAGCUUUAUAUACUGAGCAUGAUGUCCUAGGGUAUGGAAUAUCACUUUGGUCUGUUGGGGUCAAGUAAUAUGGGGCAAGAAACAUGUGUACAAAGGAGAAAUUACAGAAGCGGCCCAUGUUUCCAAAAAUAACUAUAUAGUACCAGGCAGUGCUUGAAUAUUAGGAAGGAGAUAGAC